rnacentral:tRNA from 1 species
ACCUGGGUGGCUCAGUCGGUUCAGCGUCUGACUUUGGCUCAGGUCAUGAUCCCAUGGUACGUGGGUUCGAGCCCCACGUCGGGCU